AGUGAACGCUGGCGGUAGGCCUAACACAUGCAAGUCGAACGGCAGCACAGUAAGAGCUUGCUCUUACGGGUGGCGAGUGGCGGACGGGUGAGGAAUACAUCGGAAUCUACUUUUUCGUGGGGGAUAACGUAGGGAAACUUACGCUAAUACCGCAUACGACCUACGGGUGAAAGCAGGGGAUCUUCGGACCUUGCGCGAUUGAAUGAGCCGAUGUCGGAUUAGCUAGUUGGCGGGGUAAAGGCCCACCAAGGCGACGAUCCGUAGCUGGUCUGAGAGGAUGAUCAGCCACACUGGAACUGAGACACGGUCCAGACUCCUACGGGAAGCAGCAGUGGGGAAUAUUGGACAAUGGGCGCAAGCCUGAUCCAGCCAUACCGCGUGGGUGAAGAAGGCCUUCGGGUCGUAAAGCCCUUUUGUUGGGAAAGAAAAGCAGCAGGUUAAUACCCCGCUGUUCUGACGGUACCCAAAGAAUAAGCACCGGCUAACUUCGUG
rnacentral:rRNA from 1 species